ensembl:tRNA
AGAUGUAAAAUAGAUAUUACUAUGUUUGGUUACGGUCCAAAAAGAUGCACAUCU